ensembl:snRNA U6 U6 spliceosomal RNA
GUGCUCAUUUUGGCAGGACAUACACUAAAAUUGGAAUGAUACAAAGAUUAGCAUGGCCUCUGUGCAAGGAUGACAAGCAAAUUUGCGAAGUGCUCCAUAUUUGU